UAUGGCUAAACAUGUGAUGUUUUUAUGUAGUAUGAAAUAUAAACUAUAACGCAUCAUUACAUUGUUUUGCACUUUCAUUGGAAUUUUAGCAUUUACCUGUAUAAAUAGGCGAGCACCAGCUAUGUCAAUAAAUAUAAUACCACUGCAAUCAAUUAUAAGUGACAUGAUCUCCGUAUCUAAAAUAAUUAAUAAAUAAAGCGUGUAUUAACAAAUCUAAUAUUGCAUAUCAUAGGGUCACUGCAAACAUAAUAUUCAUAAUUAAACACACAUUCACACAUCACUAUACACAUAAUAACACACAUCCACAGACACACCCAUUAUCACAUAGACACAAACUCACACAUAGGUGCAAAAUGUCUUAAACUUCCCUGGCAAUUUUCUCACUAUUGGUAUAAUUGAUUAACGCUGGCUUAAUAAAAUGGAGAAAGAUACAGUAAAUAUUAAAA